UUUUAGAAGUCACAUGAUUAGUUGAAUGGAGAUCACCUAUGUGUAUGUUCACACAAAACAAUGGUCGUUGAGUCUUCCAAAAACUGGCAGAUGGACCUUUUCAGUGUUUCAGUUUUUUUUCCUGUUUAAGAAAGAAGAAAAUGUCACCUAUCCAGUGGCGGUGCUCAUCCUUCCAACUGCUCUUCUUCUCCUCCCUCCCUCCUCCCCGCAGCUGUCCUGUGGGAUGUGAUGAUGCUCUGACAGGCUUGGUGUCUGUUCUUGGAGGUGCUGGUAUUUUCGUGCCACAGCGGCGGGGGCUGGUACAGGAAUAGGGCCGGAGUUGUAGUGUGUAGUGGGAGUGGAAGCUGGGGAGGGCUGGGAUGGUUUAAGACAGUACUGUGAGAUUUUAAGCCAUUGUAUAGACACAGGAGGGAGACCAGGGGAGGAUUGCGUAAGUCGGCUCCCUGGCUGCAAAUUUAGCCUGGGCCUGCUCACGCAAUAAUUUGAUGAGCAGUACUAUCUCAGUCGUCAGAGCCGGGGUAUUUAAAGAUGUGAGUGUGUGUUGUCAUGGGAUGUGGGGUGUAUUUAUUAUGCGUGUUUAUUUACAACCCAUGAAGAUAGCUGAUCAUUUGUGAUGGAAAGAGUGGCAUUUGCAUCUACAGUACAGCACCUCUCCCUGCUACUCUGCUCUCUGUUCCUCAUCCUGUGUUUUGUAGUCUGUCACUGAAACUCCUUUUUACUUCUCCUCCAACUUCACGACAUUAAUAAACUUGGACAGCAACAAGAGAUCUUUGAGGUUAAUAAUAUAAAUAAAUUUUAGCCCUUCUA